GGGGUUGUGGCUCAGUGAUAGAGCACUUGCCUCACACGUGAGGCACUGAGUUCGAGACUCAGCACCACA
rnacentral:tRNA from 1 species